AUGACAAUGAAUGGGGCUACAGGUAAUGUCUCCAUUUUCUCUUCCCAUUCGAUCACUUCACUAUUCAUUUUGCAAAAGCUUAUAAUUUGGUUCUUAAGGAACAUUCAUUUGACAUAACUAUUUGUGUUUGCAGUACUCGCGUGCUCGACUUGAUUCGUCACAUGGCCUCCACCCAGCCUUGAAUAAGUUGACAAUGAUUAUUGAGUGCUGUAAUGAGUCAAAUGUGUAGAUGCAAGCAUCUGAUGUUUAAAUAAAAAUUGAGUGUAGUUCGUCUGAUUUUGUUUUAUGGUUUUUAGCUGUCAAAAGCUAUGGAGUUUGAAAACAAUAUUUGUUAUAUUGGGAAUAAUUCCACCUGGUUGAUACAAGUAUCAUAUGAUUUUUACAUUA
rnacentral:misc_RNA from 1 species